CCGCCACAGGAAUCGCUAGUGCGUGAAGGGGCACAGAGUAGGCUUAGAAAGCACCAUAUUGAAAUGCUAUGCCAAUAUUGUAAUUGUCAACAAAACGUAGUAACCGCCGAUAACUUCCUCUAUUCUAUCCGGAGUGUGAUUUGAUUGUGUGUAAAGGGGAUAAUGCUCGAGUUGAUUCAAAAUGCCUUUACUUUACUCUUUGACUGUGGAAUAGAUUCAUUUCUAAAAACCCAAUUGCAGCCAUUGCUGAAGGCACCGUUCUGAAAUAAUCAUCACAGCAUUUAUGUGAGGAGCAAGGAAAAGGAUUCCAGAAUAUCUCCGUCCCAAAACGGCCGCCUUUUAACCUAUGGGCCAUGGUCCAAGUAUGUUCAGGAUCUCCUGGGAUCCUGAGUGGCGCAGCGGUCUAAAAGCAUUAUCUUAGUGCUAGAGGCAUCACUACAGACACCCUGGUUUGAAUCCAGGCUGUAUCACAACCGGCCGUGAUUGGGAGUCCCAUAGGGCGGCGCACAAUUGUCCCAGCGUCGUCCGGGUUUGGACGGUGUAGGCCGUCAUUGAUUCACAUGGGAAAAUAUUAAUGUUAUUUCCAACAACCGAUGAGCAACUCUGCUGUAAAUUCAUCUGCAUAUUGAAAGUUGAGAUUGCCCAAAGGCUCUUUGGCAAUGACAUGGAGUGGCAAGGAGUGGAAUUUUAGCUAAACAGACUGGUCACAGACACAUUUACAGUCAGCGGAUAAUCCUCCAUAAGCUGUAGGAUUUUUGUAGGAGAGGAGGGAGAGGAGUGGAGGACAAGGGGAGAGGAGGGAGGGGAGAGGAGGGAGAGGAGCGGAGGACGAGGGGAGAGGAGGGAGGGGAGAGGAGGGAGAGGAGUGGAGGACGAGGGGAGAGGAGGGAGGGGAGAGGAGGGAGAGGAGUGGAGGACGAGGGGAGAGGAGGGAAGGGAGAGGAGGGAGAGGAGUGGAGGACAAGGGGAGAGGAGGGAGAGGAGUGGAGGACGAGGGGAGAGGAGGGAGGGGAGAGGAGGGAGAGGAGUGGAGGACGAGGGGAGAGGAGGGAGAGGAGUGGAGGACGAGGGGAGAUGAGGGAAGGGAGAGGAGGGAGAGGAGGGUGAGGGGAGAGAAGGUAAGGGAGGGGAGAGGAGGAGGAGGGAGGGGAGAGGAGAACGAGAGGAGCGAGGGGAGAGGAGGGAGAGGAGUGGAGGACGAGGGGAGAGGAGGGAGAGGAGUGGAGGACGAGGGGAGAGGAGGGAGAGGAGAGGAGGACGAGGGGAGGAGGGGGUCACAUUUGACAUUUUAGUAAUUUAGCACACUCUUAUCCAGACUGACUUACAGUAGUGAGUAGAUGUCUAAGUAUCACCUCCCCUCCCCCCUGGAUC
rnacentral:lncRNA from 1 species